AACUAUAUACCUAAACCUAAUUCUUUACCCAAAUUGCUUCUUCUCACGAGCUCUCCCCUCCCUUUUCAUCAAGCGGCGCCGUAAGCUUCCAGGACAAAAAAGCUUGGCCACCAUGCGCCGGUGGUGACCCUUCCCUUCUCUAACGGCCGUUCGCGACGGUCACAACACUAAACCAAGCUUAGAUCAACCUGAAGGGUCCUGAAACGAAGCUAAAAUCCCCAAAAUCAGAACCCCUUUACUUUCCACGGUCCGACGACCUCCUAAUUCCGGCAGCCUUCUCGGAAAAGACCUCAAACGACCAUGGGAGAAGAUCGAUGAGACCUUAACAAAGCGUCAAACGAUUCAAUGGUUAUGGCGAGGCUGGUACGGACGAUCUGGGGGCAGUCAUGGUCGCGCAUGGGUAGCAUUAAUGACACCGGAUUUUCAGCGAUCUGUCUCGGCUGGACGGCUUUGGCUUGACGACUGGGCGGCUGGACGGCUCCCUUGCUUUUUCUCUUGAUGGCUCUUGGAACCCUAGGGUUUCCUGUUAGUAGUGAUUUGGGUCGGUGAAUGGCCCCUUUUUUGGAUAAUGGAUUUCAAUUGAAUUGUAUUUGGUCUAAAGUAUGAACGGGUUUGGGGAAAUCUAAAUGGACUUUAAUGCUA